AAGCAAUAACAAUUUACACCUAUGUUCUGAUAGUCUGUGUUCUUGAAAUUCAAGCUGUUCAAAUUGAACAUAUCUAUAUUAAACCAAUGCAUUGAGGAUUUCACUCAAUUCGAAAAACAUAGUUAUAAAGUAAUUGAAUAGUAAUUUUAUAUUGUGCUGAGAAUGAAUCAACUAUUUGUGUGUAUUUUUAUCUUUUCUGGAUUUAUUAUAAUCAGUGCACUUGAGAAUGCACGUUGUUCGAAAAGCGAAGAUUGUGACGAGGAUGAAUGUUGUUUGAAAAUCUUACCUUUUGUGUCCUCAAAAUGCAAAAAAUUUCAAACUGAAGGCGAGGCAUGUGUCCAGGAAGAAGAAUCAAACGAAAAUGGUGUUUAUUCUUUAAUCUGUCCAUGUUCAAAGGGUUUAACAUGUAAGCCCAAAGAGAGGGAUGAAGACGAUGGCACACAAACAAUGUUCGAUUCGAAAUGUAGAGCAUAGUAAGAGUGAUCAGGUUAAAUUUUGUCAUGAAUAAGAAGCAUAACUCUUCUUAAUUUAUAACUAUUAAAAUACCAAUUGUUUCAACAGAUUCAAUAA